rnacentral:rRNA from 1 species
GUGGGGAAUAUUGGACAAUGGGGGGAACCCUGAUCCAGCCAUGCCGCGUGUGUGAAGAAGGCCUUUUGGUUGUAAAGCACUUUAAGCGAGGAGGAGGCUACCGAGAUUAAUACUCUUGGAUAGUGGACGUUACUCGCAGAAUAAGCACCGGCUAACUCUGUGCCAGCAGCCGCGGUAAUACAGAGGGUGCAAGCGUUAAUCGGAUUUACUGGGCGUAAAGCGCGCGUAGGUGGCCAAUUAAGUCAAAUGUGAAAUCCCCGAGCUUAACGUGGGAAUUGCAUUCGAUACUGGUUGGCUAGAGUAUGGGAGAGGAUGGUAGAAUUCCAGGUGUAGCGGUGAAAUGCGUAGAGAUCUGGAGGAAUACCGAUGGCGAAGGCAGCCAUCUGGCCUAAUACUGACACUGAGGUGCGAAAGCAUGGGGAGCAAACAGGAUUAGAUACCCCAGUAGUCC